GAUGAACGCUGGCGGCGUGCCUAAUACAUGCAAGUCGAGCGAACAGACGAGGAGCUUGCUCCUCUGACGUUAGCGGCGGACGGGUGAGUAACACGUGGAUAACCUACCUAUAAGACUGGGAUAACUUCGGGAAACCGGAGCUAAUACCGGAUAAUAUAUUGAACCGCAUGGUUCAAUAGUGAAAGACGGUUUUGCUGUCACUUAUAGAUGGAUCCGCGCCGCAUUAGCUAGUUGGUAAGGUAACGGCUUACCAAGGCAACGAUGCGUAGCCGACCUGAGAGGGUGAUCGGCCACACUGGAACUGAGACACGGUCCAGACUCCUACGGGAGGCAGCAGUAGGGAAUCUUCCGCAAUGGGCGAAAGCCUGACGGAGCAACGCCGCGUGAGUGAUGAAGGUCUUCGGAUCGUAAAACUCUGUUAUUAGGGAAGAACAAUGUGUAAGUAACUAUGCACGUCUUGACGGUACCUAAUCAGAAAGCCACGGCUAACUACGUG
rnacentral:rRNA from 1 species